rnacentral:rRNA from 1 species
UACGAAGGGGGCUAGCGUUGUUCGGAAUUACUGGGCGUAAAGCGCGCGCAGGCGGUCUUCCAAGUCAGUGGUGAAAGCCCGGAGCUCAACUCCGGAAUUGCCAUUGAAACUGUUAGACUUGAGGAUGAGAGAGGUGAGUGGAAUUCCCAGUGUAGAGGUGAAAUUCGUAGAUAUUGGGAAGAACACCGGUGGCGAAGGCGGCUCACUGGCUCAUUACUGACGCUCAGGCGCGAUAGCGUGGGGAUCAAACGGG